AUCCUAUUAUAAUUUACCUUGAGUUAAUAUCCUUGGGGAAAAGAAUCCUUUAAGGAAUUCUAUUCAGUAAAACACUACAUUAGGAUAAUAUGAACAACAUAUUGUUUUAUUUUUAAAAAUAGUUUUAGAGAUAGGGUCUUGCUCUGUCACCCUGGCUGGAGUACAGUGGUGUAAUCAUAGUUCACUGCAGCCUCAAAUUCCUGGGCUCAAGCGAUCCUCCUACCUCAGCUUCCCAAGUAGCCAGGACUACAGGUUGGCAUCAUCAUGUCUGGCUAAUUUUUCUAUUUUUUUUUUUUUAGAGAUGGGGGUCUCUUUAUGCUGCCCAGGCUUGUCUCAAACUCCUGGGGGCUCAAGAGAUCCUCCUGCUUUUGGCGUCCCAAAGUGCUGAGAUUACAGGCGUGAGCUACUGAGCCUGGCCUACGAACAGCAUAUUAAAUUCUAACAUCGGCACAGAAUGAUACUCAAGAUUAUUUUUAAGUUGUCUGCCUCAGUGACAACGUAACAGUAUCAAAAUUUCCAAUAAAAAAAUCAAUUAGGCACAGUGGCUCACACUUGUAAUCUUCAUUUUGGGAGGCCAAGGUGGGGCCAUUGCUUGAAGCCAGGAGUACGAGACCAGCCGGGGCAACACAGAAAGACCAUGUCUCUACAAAAAAAUCUAAAAAUUAGCUGGACAUGGUGGUGUGCACCUGUGGUCCCAGCUACUUGGGAGGCUGAAGUGGGAGCAUCAUUUGAAUCCAAGAGGUCUAGGCUGCAGUGAGCCAUGAUCAUACUCUCACACUCCAGCCUAGGUAACACAGCCAAGACCCUGAAUAAAUAAAUAAAUGAAUCAAUGACUGAAUGAAUAUAAAAAAAACAACCUAGCCCUCUCUUUCAACAUUUACUUCUAACAGGAGUUUGUUUUAAAAGCAAAUAUCAAGUACACAGUUAGAUGGGAUACACAUUCAAUCAUAAACCUAAGUGAGCAAAAAUCCCAAGGAUCUAUAAAACUAUCAAAGGCAACAUAAAAGGCUUACCUGGCAAAUUGCUGUUUCUGUUUGUUGUUUUUUGUAGACAGAGUCUUGCUCUGGCGCCCAGGCUCUCAAGUUUUGCACGUGGGCCUUCAAAAACAAAAUAUAAUUUCCAAACUCUUUAUUAUGUGGUUUACAGAGCAUC
rnacentral:lncRNA from 10 species